AACCAUGCAAGUCGAACGGUAGCACAGAGAGCUUGCUCUCGGGUGACGAGUGGCGGACGGGUGAGUAAUGUCUGGGAAACUGCCUGAUGGAGGGGGAUAACUACUGGAAACGGUAGCUAAUACCGCAUAACGUCGCAAGACCAAAGAGGGGGACCUUCGGGCCUCUUGCCAUCAGAUGUGCCCAGAUGGGAUUAGCUAGUAGGUGGGGUAAUGGCUCACCUAGGCGACGAUCCCUAGCUGGUCUGAGAGGAUGACCAGCCACACUGGAACUGAGACACGGUCCAGACUCCUACGGGAGGCAGCAGUGGGGAAUAUUGCACAAUGGGCGCAAGCCUGAUGCAGCCAUGCCGCGUGUAUGAAGAAGGCCUUCGGGUUGUAAAGUACUUUCAGCGGGGAGGAAGGUGUUGUGGUUAAUAACCACAGCAAUUGACGUUACCCGCAGAAGAAGCACCGGCUAACUCCGUGCCACAGCCGCGGAGGGUGCAAGCGUUAAUCGGAAUUACUGGGCGUAAAGCGCACGCAGGCGGUCUGUCAAGUCGGAUGUGAAAUCCCCGGGCUCAACCUGGGAACUGCAUUCGAAACUGGCAGGCUAGAGUCUUGUAGAGGGGGGUAGAAUUCCAGGUGUAGCGGUGAAAUGCGUAGAGAUCUGGAGGAAUACCGGUGGCGAAGGCGGCCCCCUGGACAAAGACUGACGCUCAGGUGCGAAAGCGUGGGGAGCAAACAGGAUUAGAUACCCUGGUAGUCCACGCCGUAAACGAUGUCGACUUGGAGGUUGUUCCCUUGAGGAGUGGCUUCCGGAGCUAACGCGUUAAGUCGACCGCCUGGGGAGUACGGCCGCAAGGUUAAAACUCAAAUGAAUUGACGGGGGCCCGCACAAGCGGUGGAGCAUGUGGUUUAAUUCGAUGCAACGCGAAGAACCUUACCUACUCUUGACAUCCAGAGAACUUAGCAGAGAUGCUUUGGUGCCUUCGGGAACUCUGAGACAGGUGCUGCAUGGCUGUCGUCAGCUCGUGUUGUGAAAUGUUGGGUUAAGUCCCGCAACGAGCGCAACCCUUUUGCCAGCGGUUAGGCCGGGAACUCAAAGGAGACUGCCAGUGAUAAACUGGAGGAAGGUGGGGAUGACGUCAAGUCAUCAUGGCCCUUACGAGUAGGGCUACACACGUGCUACAAUGGCGCAUACAAAGAGAAGCGACCUCGCGAGAGCAAGCGGACCUCAUAAAGUGCGUCGUAGUCCGGAUUGGAGUCUGCAACUCGACUCCAUGAAGGUCGGAAUCGCUAGUAAUCGUAGAUCAGAAUGCUACGGUGAAUACGUUCCCGGGCCUUGUACACACCGCCCGUCACACCAUGGGAGUGGGUUGCAAAAGAAGUAGGUAGCUUAACCUUCGGGAGGGCG
rnacentral:rRNA from 1 species